rnacentral:rRNA from 1 species
GAUGAACGCUGGCGGCGUGCCUAACACAUGCAAGUCGAACGAAGCGGCUCAAAGUUUUCGGACAGAGAGUUGACUGAGUGGCGGACGGGUGAGUAACGCGUGGGUAACCUGCCUCAUACAGGGGGAUAACAGUUAGAAAUGACUGCUAAUACCGCAUAAGCGCACAGCAUCGCAUGAUGCAGUGUGAAAAAGCCGAGACGGUAUGAGAUGGACCCGCGUCUGAUUAGCUAGUUGGUGGGUAACGGCCCACCAAGGCGACGAUCAGUAGCCGACCUGAGAGGGUNACCGGCACGAUUGGGACUGAGACAC